AGGAAAGAAAAGAAAGAAAUCAACAAUGCAUGCAAAGGAUGUAUGGAGUUUAUCGGAUGCAGAGAGAGUGGUGAUAGUAUGCAAUUUGUUGGGCCAACCGGUGAAAAAAGUGGGGGCAUCUUAGGUGGGUGGCUUGGGAUUAUUGCACGAAGGCCAAAUUUAUGUCCGAUUCACUAUCCAAGUUGGAAAGUUUUGCCUCUUAUGUUCAAAACUAAACUGCUCUUGUUGACUCGGAGUAAGCUUUUGUUUCCUUCCAAUGGCAAUAUUGAGAAGUGGGUAUUGAAGUCACUAAGUAGAAAAUGGAAGAACUUCAAGUGUGGACUUAAAGGAAAAUAUAUCAUAGAUAAUUACACAGAGCAAGAAGUUGCAAGUAAUGUGCCAAGUGGAUUUACAUCCCAACAAUGGAUAGACCUUGUUCGUUAUUGGUUCUCAGAGAAAAGCAAGCCAUACUCUCAAAUUGGAAAGGUAGCACGUGCCAAGCAUAUUACUCCUCAUACAACUGGUUUUAUGAGUUUUGCUCGGAAAAGAGAUCAAUUUGAAAAGGAAAAUGGAAGAGAGCCGGGACGUGUCGAGUUUUUUGCAUUAACCGACAAACGUAAGAAUGGGACAUAUGAUGAGAGUUCUCAAGAGGUUUUGGAUAAUAUUACGAAGUUAAUAGAAAAGGAAGCAAAAACUGAAAAUGAAGCGUUUACCGAAGUCAUUGGAAAAGAUCGAUAUGGCCGAGUAAAGGGAUAUGGAAUUGGUGUCACCCCAACUCAACUAUUCGGAGUACAAGCUCAAAUUAAGAAUAUGGAGAAUGGAGGAGUAGAUCCUUCGGAAGAUAUGUGAAAGCUACAAGCACAAAUACAAGACGUGCAAAGUAACUAUGACCCUAAGUUGCUAGAGAUGCAUCAAAAUUAUGAGCAGAAAUUACAAGGGAUGCAAAAGAAUUAUGAAUCACAGUUGGAAGAUAUGAAGUACGUAACUAUUAGUUCAAAUCGCCUCAAAACUGCAAUGAGGGUGAAUGUUGUCUGACAUAUACUAUUUUGGUUGGAAUCCUGAAGCAGUUGAGCUCUGCUCAUAUAACUAUUCUCAUCACAUUUUGUCUGCGGCUACAUAUAAAUUACCAGAGGGCAUUCGUUUAAACUGAAAAUACUAUUUACGCUAUACGAUUAAUAAUUCACUGUGAAUAAAAAAGUGAUGAAAUUUUUUUGUUCCUA